CCUACGGGCGGCUGCAGUGGGGAAUAUUGGGCAAUGGGCGCAAGCCUGACCCAGCAAUGCCGCGUGAAGGAAGAAGGCUUUCGGGUUGUAAACUUCUUUGACAGGGGAAGAGCAGAAGACGGUACCCUGAAAACAAGCCACGGCUAACUACGUGCCAGCAGCCGCGGUAAUACGUAGGUGGCAAGCGUUGUCCGGAUUUACUGGGUGUAAAGGGCGUGUAGCCGGGAAGGCAAGUCAGAUGUGAAAUCUGGAGGCUCAACCUCCAAAUUACAGUUGAAAAUGUUUUUCUUGAGUACUGGAGAGGCAGACGGAAUUCCUUGUGUAGCGGUGAAAUGCGUAGAUAUAAGGAGGAACACCAGUGGCGAAGGCGGUCUGCUGGACAGCAACUGACGGUGAGGCGCGAAAGCGUGGGGAGCAAACAGGAUUAGAUACCCCAGUAGUC
rnacentral:rRNA from 1 species